rnacentral:tRNA from 14 species
CGAUCGUCAUGGUGAAGGACGCCGUGCCGCCGCCGCUGCCGACGGUGGUGGCCCACUGGAACGCGCCGGUCCAGUCGCCGGGGGCGAAGGG